ACAGAGGGGGCAAGCGUUGUUCGGAAUUACUGGGCGUAAAGGGCGCGUAGGUGGCUCGUUAAGUGGCUGGUGAAAUCCCGGGGCUCAACUCCGGGGCUGCCGGUCAGACUGGCGGGCUAGAGCACGGUAGGGGCAGAUGGAAUUCCCGGUGUAGCGGUGGAAUGCGUAGAUAUCGGGAAGAACACCAGUGGCGAAGGCGUUCUGCUGGGCCGUUGCUGACACUGAGGCGCGACAGCGUGGGGAGCAAACAGGA
rnacentral:rRNA from 1 species